rnacentral:rRNA from 1 species
UACGAAGGGGGCUAGCGUUGCUCGGAAUCACUGGGCGUAAAGGGUGCGUAGGUGGCGGGGUUAGUCAGGUGUGAAAUCUCGGAGCUCAACUCCGAAACUGCACUUGAUACUGCCUUGCUAGAGUACUGGAGAGGAGAUUGGAAUUUACGGUGUAGCAGUGAAAUGCGUAGAUAUCGUAAGGAAGACCAGUGGCGAAGGCGAAUCUCUGGACAGUUACUGACACUGAGGCACGAAGGCCAGGGGAGCAAACGGG